rnacentral:rRNA from 1 species
AAGGAUCAUUAAAGAUUAUGAAUGAAUAGAUUGCUGGGGAAUCGUCUGAACAAGGCCUGCGCUUAAUUGCGCGGCCAAUUCUUGAUUCUCUGCUAUCAGUUUUCUAUUUCUCAUCCUAAACACAAUGGAGUUUUUUCUCUAUGAACUACUUCCCUGGAGAGCUCGUCUCUCCAGUGGACAUAAACACAAACAAUAUUUUGUAUUAUGAAAAACUAUUAUACUAUAAAAUUUAAUAUUCAAAACUUUCAACAACGGAUCUCUUGGUUCUCGCAUCGAUGAAGAACGCAGCGAAUUGCGAUAUGUAUUGUGAAUUGCAGAUUUUCGUGAAUCAUCAAAUCUUUGAACGCACAUUGCGCCCUCUGGUAUUCCAGGGGGCAUGCCUGUUUGAGCGUCAUUUCUCUCUCAAACCUUUGGGUUUGGUAGUGAGUGAUACUCGUCUCGGGUUAACUUGAAAGUGGCUAGCCGUUGCCAUCUGCGUGAGCAGGGCUGCGUGUCAAGUCUAUGGACUCGACUCUUGCACAUCUACGUCUUAGGUUUGCGCCAAUUCGUGGUAAGCUUGGGUCAUAGAGACUCAUAGGUGUUAUAAAGACCCGCUGGUGUUUGUCUCCUUGAGGCAUACGGCUUUAACCAAAACUCUCAAAGUUUGACCUCAAAUCAGGUAGGGGUACCCGCUGAACUUAA